rnacentral:rRNA from 1 species
GAAAAGCACCCCGGAAGGGGAGUGAAACAGUUCCUGAAACCGUGUGCCUACAAGUAGUUAGAGCCCGUUAAUGGGUGAUAGCGUGCCUUUUGUAGAAUGAACCGGCGAGUUACGAUUUGUUGCAAGGUUAAGCGGAAAAAGCGGAGCCGUAGCGAAAGCGAGUCUGAAUAGGGCGCAUAAGUAACAGGUCGUAGACCCGAAACCAGGUGAUCUACCCAUGUCCAGGAUGAAGGUAAGGUAAUACUUACUGGAGGUCCGAACCCACGCACGUUGAAAAGUGCGGGGAUGAGGUGUGGGUAGCGGAGAAAUUCCAAUCGAACUUGGAGAUAGCUGGUUCUCUCCGAAAUAGCUUUAGGGCUAGCCUCGAGGUAAAGAGUCAUGGAGGUAGAGCACUGUUUGGACUAGGGGCCCUUCUCGGGUUACCGAAUUCAGAUAAACUCCGAAUGCCAUGUACUUAUACUCGGGAGUCAGACUGCGAGUGAUAAGAUCCGUAGUCGAAAGGGAAACAGCCCAGACCACCAGUUAAGGUCCCCAAAUAUAUGUUAAGUGGAAAAGGAUGUGGGGUUGCUUAGACAACCAGGAUGUUGGCUUAGAAGCAGCCACCAUUGAAAGAGUGCGUAAUAGCUCACUGGUCGAGUGACCCCGCGCCGAAAAUGUACCGGGGCUAAACAUAUUACCGAAACUGUGGAUGAACCUCUUUAGAGGUUCGUGGUAGGAGAGCGUUCUAAGGGCGGUGAAGUCAGACCGGAAGGACUGGUGGAGCGCUUAGAAGUGAGAAUGCCGGUAUGAGUAGCGAAAGAAGGGUGAGAAUCCCUUCCACCGAAUAUCUAAGGUUUCCUGAGGAAGGCUCGUCCGCUCAGGGUUAGUCGGGACCUAAGCCGAGGCCGAUAGGCGUAGGCGAUGGACAACAGGUAGAGAUUCCUGUACCAGUGCUAAUUGUUUAACCGAUGGGGUGACACAGAAGGAUAGGGAAUCGCACGAAUGGAAAUGUGCGUCCAAGCAGUGAGUGUGAGAAGUAGGCAAAUCCGCUUCUCGCGAAGCAUGAGCUGUGAUGGGGAAGGAAAUUAAGUACGGAAGUUCCUGAUUUCACGCUGUCAAGAAAAGCCUCUAGGAAGAGUAGUACUGCCCGUACCGCAAACCGACACAGGUAGAUGAGGAGAGAAUCCUAAGGUGAGCGAGAGAACUCUCGUUAAGGAACUCGGCAAAAUGACCCCGUAACUUCGGGAGAAGGGGUGCUCUAUUAGGGUGCAAGCCCGAGAGAGCCGCAGUGAAUAGGCCCAGGCGACUGUUUAGCAAAAACACAGGUCUCUGCAAAACCGUAAGGUGACGUAUAGGGGCUGACGCCUGCCCGGUGCUGGAAGGUUAAGAGGAGUGCUUAGCUUCGGCGAAGGUACGAAUUGAAGCCCCAGUAAACGGCGGCCGUAACUAUAACGGUCCUAAGGUAGCGAAAUUCCUUGUCGGGUAAGUUCCGACCCGCACGAAAGGCGCAACGAUCUGGGCACUGUCUCAACGAGAGACUCGGUGAAAUUAUAGUACCUGUGAAGAUGCAGGUUACCCGCGACAGGACGGAAAGACCCCGUGGAGCUUUACUGCAACCUGAUAUGGAAUGUUUGUACCGCUUGUACAGGAUAGGUAGGAGCCGAAGAGACGUGUGCGCUAGCAUACGAGGAGGCAAUGGUGGGAUACUACCCUGGCUGUAUGACCAUUCUAACCCGCCACGCUUAGCGCGUGGGGAGACAGUGUCAGGUGGGCAGUUUGACUGGGGCGGUCGCCUCCUAAAGAGUAACGGAGGCGCCCAAAGGUUCCCUCAGAAUGGAUGGAAAUCAUUCGCAGAGUGUAAAGGCACAAGGGAGCUUGACUGCGAGACUGACAAGUCGAGCAGGGACGAAAGUCGGGCUUAGUGAUCCGGUGGUUCCGCAUGGAAGGGCCAUCGCUCAACGGAUAAAAGCUACCCCGGGGAUAACAGGCUUAUCUCCCCCAAGAGUCCACAUCGACGGGGAGGUUUGGCACCUCGAUGUCGGCUCGUCGCAUCCUGGGGCUGUAGUCGGUCCCAAGGGUUGGGCUGUUCGCCCAUUAAAGCGGCACGCGAGCUGGGUUCAGAACGUCGUGAGACAGUUCGGUCCCUAUCCGUCGCGGGCGCAGGAAAUUUGAGAGGAGCUGUCCUUAGUACGAGAGGACCGGGAUGGACACACCGCUGGUGUACCAGUUGUUCCGCCAGGAGCAUCGCUGGGUAGCUAUGUGUGGCAGGGAUAAACGCUGAAAGCAUCUAAGCGUGAAGCCCCCCUCAAGAUGAGAUUUCCCAUUUCUUCGGAAAGUAAGAU